UCCCCGGUAGCUCAGUGGUAGAGCAACCGGCUGUUAACCGGUUGGUCGCUGGUUCGAAUCCGGCCCGGG
rnacentral:tRNA from 1 species